GACGAACGCUGGCGGCGUGCCUAACACAUGCAAGUCGAACGGAACUUACCGAAUGAAGCUUUCGGGUGGAUUUUGAUAAGUUUAGUGGCGGACGGGUGAGUAACGCGUGAGUAACCUGCCUUCUAGAUGGGGACAACAUCCCGAAAGGGGUGCUAAUACCGAAUGUGACAGCAAUCUCGCAUGAGGAUGCUGUGAAAGAUGGCCUCUAUUUAUAAGCUAUCGCUAGAGGAUGGGCCUGCGUCUGAUUAGCUAGUUGGUGGGGUAAUGGCCUACCAAGGCGAUGAUCAGUAGCCGGUCUGAGAGGAUGAACGGCCACAUUGGGACUGAGACACGGCCCAG
rnacentral:rRNA from 1 species